rnacentral:rRNA from 1 species
AGUGAACGCUGGCGGUAGGCCUAACACAUGCAAGUCGAACGGCAGCACAGUAAGAGCUUGCUCUUACGGGUGGCGAGUGGCGGACGGGUGAGGAAUACAUCGGAAUCUACUUUUUCGUGGGGGAUAACGUAGGGAAACUUACGCUAAUACCGCAUACGACCUACGGGUGAAAGCAGGGGAUCUUCGGACCUUGCGCGAUUGAAUGAGCCGAUGUCGGAUUAGCUAGUUGGCGGGGUAAAGGCCCACCAAGGCGACGAUCCGUAGCUGGUCUGAGAGGAUGAUCAGCCACACUGGAACUGAGACACGGUCCAGACUCCUACGGGAGGCAGCAGUGGGGAAUAUUGGACAAUGGGCGAAAGCCUGAUCCAGGCAUACCGCGUGGGUGAAGAAGGCCUUCGGGUUGUAAAGCCCUUUUGUUGGGAAAGAAAAGCAGCAGGUUAAUACCCCGCUGUUCUGACGGUACCCAAAGAAUAAGCACCGGCUAACUUCGUG